ACAGGCUGGAGUGCAGUGGUGUGAUCUCAGCUCACUGGAACCUCCGCCUCCUGGGUUCAAACGAUUCUCCUGCCUCAGCCUCCCGAGUAGCUGGAAUUACAGGUGCACACCACCACCCCCCGGCUAGUUUUCUUGUAUUUUUAGUAAAGAUGGGGUUUUGCCAUAUUGACCAGGCUAGUCUCAAACUCCUGGACUCAAAUGAUCUGCCCACCUCGGCCUCUCAAAGUGCUGGGAUUACAGGUGUGAGCCACCACACCUGUAUAAACUAAUGCAUUUAAAAUUAAUUUUGAAUUAAUUUUAUAAUAACUUUGAGAGGCUUAGAUUGAGAGUCAUUUUUUUGCCUAUAUUUGUCCAAUUAUUCCAGCACCAUUGUUGAAAAGACUUACCUUUAAGUGGUCUUUUUUGCAUCAGUUAAGAAAACAGAUUGAGUUCCACAAAGAAUUGAAAUGGUAGAAACCUAAAAAAGCAUAUGGAAGGUGAGGGGAUCAGAGAGAUGGUCCAUGUACCAAAUAAUUCAGCAGCUGCUCGAAAUGAGAGGUGGUCAAGAGGACCUAAGUCACCUAGGACAUUACAGAAAUCGAGGGGAGGCUUUGGACUGCUCACAAGUCAUUAAAUGAAGAGAGGGUUGUUGAGCCAAACUUAGGCAGAUCUUCACGGGAAGAAUGAGCCUCCCUGAUGUCCCCGUACCUGCAGCAGUGAGGUGUGUGACUUCCCGGGGCUCUGGCUCCUUGGAGUGGUGGGGUGAGGUAGAUGCUGCAGCCUGGACUGGAAGCCAGAGUGACUCAUCAGCCCAGGGUGAGCAUCUCGGGGGGAUGUUGUUUUGUUUGCUCUCGCAGUGAACCCCAUUACAAUAACAGCACCAAGGUGUCCCGGUGCUUUGACUGUUCUCUCCCUGGGCUCCUAAUGGAGAUUGACAGAAUCUAGAGUCCAGGGUAAUUCUAUUGUCAGUUUCAGCAGCCUCCUGCACCUCAUUAGACACAAGCAGAGAGAAAUGAGCAAAGAAGGAAUGUCAGCCUCAGAACAGAGGGGGCCUGCUAGAGUAAGCAGCUUUCAGGAGAUGACAAGGUAGUGAGGAAAUUAUCCGGGCUUUCCAACUGGCCCCUCUAGGCUCUAGGUGGGAAAUCGGGACGUCUGUGUCACAGCUCUGCAGAACAGAGCCAGCAUGAAUGGUUCAGUUUCAACUGCAGUCCCUUUUCUUUGAGGGACAGCAUGAGGGGAGGCUAAGACAGACAUCUUUUGUAUUGUCAGCCUUUGUGUUAGAGGCUCCUUCCGGUGGUGGGGCCUAGCAGGGGAGGUGUUUCUGGGUGGCUUGGGUUUAAGUUGCAAGUGGAUGGUGUCAGGGGUCAAAGCCUUAUUUGAUUUAUCUAAACCUUUAGGAUUUUACUCAGGAUGGAUGAACUGUAUCCAAUGUAUAGGGAGAGAGAAUCCUAGGCCUAUAAGAAAGCUGGAAUUGAUCAUUGUCCCACACUAUAUCUUGUUUCCCAGCCUUGGCCAGAAACACACACAGAUUUACGUAGAUAAACAUGUAACAUACUUAUCUUAGUGUGUUCAGGCUGCUAUAACAAAAAUACCUUAGACUGGGCAAUUUAUAAACAACAGAAAUGUUUUUCUUAUGGUUCCAGAGACUGGAAAGUCCAAGACAAAAGCACAGGCAGGUUUGAUAUCACGUGAGGACCCGCUCUCUGCUUCCAAGAUGACAGCUUCUUGCUCACGUGUUGGAAGGCGCAAGGUUGCUCCUUUCAAUCCCUUUUAUAAGGGCAUCAAUCUCAUUCAGGAGGGCACAGCCCUCAUGACUUAAUUACUUCCCCAAAGGCCCCACCCCUUAAUACAUGACAUUGGGUGGUAGGUUCCAAUAUGAAUUUUGGAGGGAAACCAACAUUCAGACCGUAGCAACACCCAACACUUAUAUAUACAAGCUCAUGUACAAAUACACACAACACUAAUGCUUCUACUCAUACUUUUUUUUUUUUUUUGUUUUGAGACAAGGUCUCACUCUUUCACUCAGGCUGGAGUGCAGUGGCUUGAUCAUGGCUCACUGCAGUCUCAAACCUUGGGCUCAAGCAAUCCUCCCACCUCAGCCUCCCAAGUAGCUGGGGCUAUAGGCAUAUGCCACCACACAGCUAAUUUUUAAAAAUUUAUUUAGAGACAGGGUCUUGCUAUGUUGUCCAUGGUGGACCCGAACUCUUGGCCUCAAGUGAUCCUCCCAUCUUGGCCUCCCAAAGUGCUGGGAUUAUGGGCAUGAGCCACUGAGCCUGGUCCUCAUAGGUAAUUUUAAAUACACAGAACACUAGACCAGACGUGUGCCAGUUACACAUACAGGCAACACACACAGGUCCAUGCUGAAGGCAUUUCGCUACAGAGUUUUUGUCUGUGGCUUAUGACAUCAGCCUCUUUGCUUUCUAUUUACAUCUUGGAUAUACACCGCUCACACACACAUUCACACCCACCCACCAUUCUCACAAUGCACAGCAUGCACUCAAACACCCAAGCCACAAACAUGUUCACAUAUACACACUCUGCAGUCAACAUUUGCCCAAACAUACAUGCCUCUUCUAUUUUCACCACGUGUGACCAGUUGUGGUCAUUCAGAUGCCUGCCCAUCCUGUGUGUCACACCUACGUAUGCCUCUCUGGCACACUUGCAACAGGCCAAGCCAGUGUCUGCACAGACUAGCAGAGCAGAGAGUGUUUUCCACCUUCUUCCUGUCAUUGACAUGCAACACCUGUCCUGUCUUUAGUUUUUUGCACUCUGGCUUCGACUGAAUUGAAUGCCAGUCUGCCUGGCACAGAGCCCAGCGCAGCAGCCCAGAAGCAAUUGUCCUGUGGGCAUAAGCCUCCAAGAGCCCAGAAUGGGUGCACGCCAACUCUGGAGGCACCAUCAAGGAAAGAGGCCUCUGUAGGCGCCCCCCACCCCUCAUUAGUGCUCUAGAGGGCCAUGGAUGAGUCAGCACAUGGCAACCUCUUUUCCUCCCUGCCUUUCUUCUCCUCAAAAUUCUGGUCAUUUGGGUGUUUCAAGGCCUUUGCCAAACAGAAUGAGUGAGGCUUGAAAGAGAUACUAGCUUAGAAAAUCCACCAUCAGAGUCUGGGCCAUUGAAUUUUCCAUUAGCCUUCGCUUGUGCAUUUCUGUAGCCUCAUAUCUAGAACAAGUCUGGAACAGUAAAACUUCACUGAAUAAAUACAAGUGUAUGUUAGCCUAUGAAAUAGGACUAAUUCUGCUUUGUCUCUCAGGACUAUCUAUAAAUCAUAAGGAGCAAUGCAAAUACCUUAUGAGGAAUUUUUGCUAUUAUUGUGAUCAACACCAGGUAGGUAAAUCAUUUCCUUCCCCACUUCACACGUUUCUGUCCCUACCUACUCCUAGCGCCUUGAACUAGCUGUCACUGAGAUAAUGAUACUAGUUACCAUUAUCGAGCACCUAUUCUGCUCCAGGUACUAGACUAAGCACUUUACAAAUAUCUUGUUCUAUCCUCUCAACAUCCUUGUUAAAUAAAUAUUACUGUCUGUAUUUCAUAGUCUGGAAAUUUGAGGUUUUAAGGGGCUGAGCAGCUUGCCCAAAGUCACACAGCUAAUAGACAGCAGAGACAGGAUUUGAACUCAGGUCUUUGCUUCUCAAACUCAUGUCAUCCUCACUUCACCAACCUUACAUUUAUCAUCAUCAGCCAUAGAAUGCAAAUUCUAUCCAUAUUUCUAUUGUUUAAGCCUAAACCCCCUUUUCCGUCUAUGUCCAUCUCAAUUUUAAACUGUAAGCCAGGCUAUAAAUAGCAGGAACUAUGUUUAUUGAAUUCAUUUCAUAGUGUUCAGCAUACUUCCAUAGUGUUCAGCAUAUUUCUGGGAAAAUAUAUAUAUAUGUAUACACAUACACACACACACACACACACACAUAUACACAUAUAUACAUAGAGGUUACUUUUUGUUUAAGUAAUGGUUCCAUGAAUUUCACAUUGUGUCUGAAGCUAAGAGACUAAAUUCUAGCUCUUCUUAGCAAAGAACAAACUAUAAAGAGAUGCAGUCUGAAGGGAAAACAAACUGUCUUUCACUAUAGCAUACUUCUGUGACCAGAUGCAUGGGGGCUUUUCCCUACACACCAAGAAAUUCUCCAGCAGACACCAACUGGGUGUCCUAUAAUUCAGUUCCAUUCUGGCACCAUCUACUUGCAGUGAGAGUCAGAUCCCACAGCUGAUGGCUCAGUCCCACAAGAUUGCCCCCAGUUCAGGUGCCAAUCACACGACUAAGGUUGUGACCUGUGCUUUUGACCAACCAACUAUAAGUUGGGGUUCCCAAGACCCCCUCCUUGGUUUCAAUUAAUUUGCUAGAGCAGCUCACAGAACACUUACUUUACAUUUACCGGUUUCUUUUAAAGGAUAUGAUAAAGGAUACAGAUGAGCAGCCAGAUGGAAGAGAUGCACAGGGCAAGUCAUGUGGGAAGGGGCGCGGAGCUGCCAUGUGCUUUCCGGAAGAUCCACCCUCCAGGCGCCUCCACAGGUUCAGCUGUCUGGAGCCUCCUGAACCAAGUUUUCUUUGGUUUUUAUGGAAGCUUUAUGACAUAGGCCUGAUUGAUUACAUCAUCGGCCAUAAGGUGCUUGGUGAGACAGUGUCACCGUUCUGGGAAGAGCUAGUCUGGGAGAAGGAGUCAGGAUACUAGACCUGUCUGUGAGGCACUGGAUGACUCCAGAAGCUCAAGGAAGCUCAUGGUGAAGCCCCGAUUUGAAAUGGGACUUUGAAGAGGAAGCUCUAGGCCAGCAUGGCUCACAAGGAAGCUGGGUGGCGUUUCUCCUCCUCUCCCACCAUUGUGAAGGAUCUUCUUGCUGCUAGAGUGCAGCGCCUGGUACAGAGCAUACAUUUCAGUGUUAAGUGAAUGAGUGAAUGUUUGAAGUGCUUAUUAAGCACCCAGCCUGUGCCAGGCAUUAUCCUGCACUUGAAACGUAUUAGUAAAUCAAAGCCAUAAGAAUUCCUGCACGAGUCACGUCCACAUUCUACUGAGGGGUGAAGGCCAAUGAGCCAAGCACACGAUAAACCAGUGCAUUAGAUACUAUGUUGGGAAGUGUUAAGUGCUUGGGGAAAAAAUACAGCAGACUAAGGGGGACGGGGGAAAGAGGGUGUUGCAACUUUAAAUAGGGUGGUCAGAGCAGGUGUCAUUGAGGAGGUGACAUUUAAGCAAAACCUUGAAGAGGUGAAGAAGCACUGCAGGGAGUGUGAAGAACAGGAGCGAGGACCCUGAGGCGGGAGGAAGUGUGGCAGGUUGGAGACACAGCAUGGAAGUGGUGUGACUGGAGCAGGGACAGAGAGGGAGCUGGGAUCAGAGAGGAGCAGGAGUGAGUGGGCAGGUCAAGCUGACUUCCCCGGAGGUCUUCCUUGACCACGCUUGAUAAGGCAGCCCCUUGGCCCAGCACUCUCCAUCCCAUUACCCGCUUUGUUUUCCUCAUUACACCCGCACCACCAUCUGGUGUAUUCUGUUCUGUUCACACUGCCUGCCUCCCUAAGGAAGGAUGUAAGGUUCGUGAAGGCAGGGACUUUACCCAUUUGUUACCUGCUCUAUCUAAUGUCAGAACGGCUGGUGAGGGUGAAGAGGUCAGGAUGCCUUCCACACCAGAGGCUGAUGAGGAGCUGCAGCUCCUCAUUCCUUGACUGCAGGAAACCCUUCCUGACCCAGGCUGAUUAUUGUCAUCAUGAAGGGAAAUCUGUAGUGGUUGGCCACAGGGCUCUUUCAUUGGCCUUGGCUGGUUGAGAGCAGGGAUGAGCUGUACAGGCAGAGUCUUCUGUGAGGGUUGUCCCUGGACCUUCCUCACAGGCAGGCAGAUGUUUUGCUUUUAUUUGUUCAACAAACAUUUGUUGGGCACCUACUAUAUGCCAUGCACUGAGCUUACCGACUUAGGUUAGGUGGAGGAGGGAGGGACAGUUGGGAUGAUGCCACCCUAACCCUUUCCAGGCCCUCCCAGGUCCCAAGCUUCACUGGGCACAUGAGUAGCAUAUGCCAGGUGCAUGCCAGGCCUUGGGAAUGCAAAGAUGAACAGCACAGUGCCUGCACUCAAUCAAGUUGCUGUCACUGUAGUAGAUGUGAGAGACAUGUAAACAACUGUCUGCAAAUCCACUGUGAUAAGUACAAUGGCAGUGUAUCCAGGUGACAAGGGGAAGGGGCAGAAAAGGUCUCAGAGGAGUGAUGCUUGAGUUGAACUCAAAGUGGAGUGAUAUGUCAACUUGUGAUCUGGUUUGAAGUACCCCAAACCCUGUUCUUGUUGAGCCUGGAAUGAGAAGUUCAAUUGUAUGGAUUAGGUAUCAUCCUCUUCUUUGGCGCUGAAAAUAAUUGGUGUUCCCAAGAAAGUAACUAACGUAGCACACAAUUCUGAGAUCGCCUUCUUACAUGUGAAGAAACCAGGCGCCAUGUGAAAGGGGUUGAUGGAGAGAAAGGAGUAAAUGGGGUUCCCUCAUCUCCUAGUUCUCUGUCCCCUCUCCACUUUUAGUGGUCUCUAUUUUUAGGUGCCAAGGCUGUCUAGGUUUCUCUCUAAUCCUAGAGGGAAGAAUUGAUAAACACAUUAGUAAACACAUUUAUCCUAAUAGGCUAAUGAUCUGGGCUCUCCUCACCGCUCUGCUUUCUUCUCUCCCUUGAUGCAUCUCCUGGGGGCAAUUAAAAGUUCCAUCUCUACAAGCCUGAUGAGGCUUCUGAACCCUCUCCUCACUUCCUGCCUCUGAGUCCAGCCCCUACCUACCAUGUCCUGGCCUUGUAGAUAGGACCUGAUGAAUACGAGGUUUCUUGAUUUUAGCAGGAAUUGGACAAAGGCUCCCAUGGCUAUGUUGUGGACAAAGUAGAAGAAUAAGGCAGAUGAUAUUAUAUCAGAUGGAGAACUGAUUGGUUUAAUAGACAGAAAGAGCAUUGGUAAUUGUCAUACUGAAAUAUCAUCAGAAUUUAAUCAGUGGCUUGAAUAAAGACUAAAUGACGCAAAACUUAGAGGAAAAGAUAAUACAAAGAUCAACAAAAUCAGAUAUCUAAAGACUGGAUGAGGAGAGACAAAUCAGAUUAUCAGCUGGAUGACUCCGGAGACUCUCCCUAGGUAACCCAGCAAUAUAUUGGCCCUAUAGGAUGGCUUCAAGAACUCAGAUUGGAGCCAAUGCCGAUAUGCGAACUCCUCACUUAAUUUUUCUGGGGAGACAAGCUAUUUCUCAUGCUGGCAAGGUUGUAACCAAUUGCAAAGCUAAAGAUCUAUCCCUUCCCACAUCCAUCACUAAUAUGCAAGACAACGGAGCACAGUGAUCCCUCUCCUGGAUCACACAGCGCACACAUGGCACUCUAAGACACGUUCAUCCCAAGCAUGCCUCUUCAUGGGAUGGCAAGGGUCUGAAAGGACCACAUCCAUGCUGCCAGCCUGUGCCUGAGUACUCACGCUUUGAGUCUGCAUUUAUCCUUGCCCCCUGCUUUACAAAUUGGUAUAAACAACAUUUUAAAAAACCAAAAGAUAAAAUGUUAUACAGACAAAUAUACUGCAUUUGUGCUAAAAAUAUCAGUUAUGUAACUAUAGGAAUGGGAAGACUUGGCUCUAUACCUUGAAAAGGAACCAUGAGUUUAGUGGAUUUAGAACGAGUCAGGAAGUGACCUGGUGGCUUAUAAGUGGUCUGUCGCUUCAUUAACAGAUGCAGCAUCCAGAUCUCAGGAGAGGACAUUGUACUCAUCUUGCCAGCCCACCCAACUGGAAGCCAUGCUUAGUGUAGCCUACUCUAGGCACAGGAAGAGGCAGGGCUCACAGCUGCCACUGAUGUAUAUGCAGAGUACGUACAAGGCGAGUGGAGCAGCCAAGAGAACCAGACUGUAGCAGGUUAAUUGGCUGGGGCUGACAGAUUCCAAGUCAAACUGGCCCAAGCUCAUGUCUGGGAUUCUAAAGCAGAAGGAAGAGUCAAGAGAGAGGGAAUGGACCUGGAUGACUGCAAGAGGACCAGGUGCAGAAGCCAAAACAUACCAUACUGAGGCAGACAGGAGCAGGUGGUUAGGGGACUAAGGCAAUUACUGAGGAGAGAGGCUGAUGAAGACGGAAGUAAAAGAAAAACAGGUUGGAGUGCUGCAGCUGAGGAGCCCUGCUGGCUGCAGUACCACUGUCUACAUUAUUUUAAAAACUAUUUCUUCUUUUUUAUAAAAAAAUCAAACUAAUGCAUGAGUAUUAUUUUUAGUUUUGUUUUUAAAAUUAAAUCGUAUUGCCACAUCCAUAACUUAAAAAUUGCAAUCCUCUGACCCAAUUUUUUGAAUUCCUGCUUUCUAGAACCAAAUGCUUUCAACUCUUUUCUGUUUCUUCUGUUUUUCUCUCUUUAUUUGUAAACAGCAGAUUAUGCUACUAUUUCUUUUUUUUGUUUUGUUUUUUAGGUUUAGUUUUUUGGCUCCUGUAUGAAAGAUGAGGAUUGUGUUCCCUCACACCAUCCUUUCCCACUCUCUGGCCGCCUAAUAUAUUCACACUAUUCCUCCUCCCCAUCCUCUCAAUAUACUAUUGUUACCUUAUGGGUAAAAUCAAUGCUUAUUAAUUUUGAGCAUUGAUUUUAUGAUGUUUAUGAUGUUAUGAUCAUGGAAAUGCAAUUCACUGCUGAUCUAGGGAAUACAAUAAAACUACUUUAUGUUUUACCUGGAUUUAAUAGUUGCCUCAUUGUUUGUUUGUUUCUUAGUUUUCCAGGUACCUAUCACAGCAAUUCACUGCUGAUCUAGAAGAUACAAUAAAACUACUUUAUGUUUUACCUGGAUUUAAUAGUUGCCUCAUUGUUUGUUUGUUUCUUAGUUUUCCAGGUACCUAUCACGAAUUCAUUCUCAGAAUUUCUGAAAGAACAAUAAAAAUCAUUGCAAUAUGUGCAAACAUUAGGUAGUCUGUUUGUUUCUUUUUUCUUUUUCUACUCGGGGAUUUCCUCCUAGUGCAUUUUGUCCUUCUGUUACUUGUAAGUCUCUAAGCUUGCUACACAACUAUCAUUGGGAACUUUUCUGCACCAUUAAUCUGGAAAUUCCCUUUGCCUCUUUUCUGUGUUAAAACUCCUGUUUUCUAGAUUCUGUGUUUCCCCCCCUGCUUGGUUUAUUCACUUCUUUUGGCAGAAUACAUCUGCAAGUAGCUUAUUGUGAAAAGAUAAGUGGGAGGUUAAUUUUUUGAAAUCUUGCAUAUCUGAAAAUGUUUUUAUGUAUUUUAAUAGCUUUUUUGAAAUAUAUUUUGCAUACCAUAAAAUUCGCCCAUUUAAAGUGUAUAAUUCAGUGGUUUUUAGUAUAUUCACACAGUUAUGCAACCAUCACAAUUUAAUUUUAGAACAUUUUUGACAUCCCCAAAAUAAAUUCUGUACACAUUAGCAGUCCUCCACCAUUUCUGCUCACUUAUUUUCCCUCAACCUACUGCUCCAACCUCAGGUAGUCACUAAUCAACCUUCUGACUCUGUUGGUUUGCUGAUUCUGAACUUUUCACAUAAGUGGAAUCAUACAAUACAUGGUCUUUUGUGAUUGACUUAUUUCAGUUAGCAUAUUUUUUUCAAGGUUUAUCUAAGUCGGAGCAUGUGCCAGUAUUCAUUCUUUUUUAUUGCUGCAUAAUAUUCUAGUGUAUGGACAUACCACAUUUUGUUUGUCCAGUCAUUAAUUAAUGGAUAUUUUGUUUGUUUCCACCUUUUGGCUAUUUUGAAUAAUUCUGCUAUGAACUUUCAUGUACAAGUUUUUGUGUAGACAUAUAUUUUCACUUCUCUUGGGUAUACAUCCAGGAGUAGAAUUGCUAGUUUAUAUUCUAACUCUAUGUUUUGCAUUUUGAAGAACUGCCAAACUAUUUUCCAAAGUGGUUGCACCAUUUUACAUUCCCA
rnacentral:lncRNA from 1 species